rnacentral:snRNA from 1 species
GGAUGUGAGGGCAAUCUGGCUGGGACAUCUGUCACCCCAUUGAUCGCCAGGGUUGAUUAGGCUGAUCUGGCUGGCUAGGCGGGUGUCCCCUUCCUCCCUUAAUGCUCCAUGUGCAUCCCUCCCGAAGCUGCGCGCUUGGUCGAAGAGGACGACCAUCCCCGAUAGAGGAGGACCAUUCCUCCAUCAAGGGUAUACCAGUAACUGAGUUCCCCUGCUAGAACCUCCAAACAAGCUCUCAAGAAAACAAAUCAACAUUAUAAGUAGCGAUUGGAAGGAUAUCUGUCAUAUACUGUUAAAUUUUAAAAAGUAGUUCUUAAAGUAUUACUAUGUUU